rnacentral:rRNA from 1 species
CCUACGGGUGGCAGCAGUGGGGAAUAUUGGACAAUGGGCGAAAGCCUGAUCCAGCCAUGCCGCGUGUGUGAAGAAGGCCUUCGGGUUGUAAAGCACUUUCAGUGGGGAAGAAAGCCUUGGGGCUAAUACCCUCGAGGAAGGACAUCACCCACAGAAGAAGCACCGGCUAACUCCGUGCCAGCAGCCGCGGUAAUACGGAGGGUGCGAGCGUUAAUCGGAAUUACUGGGCGUAAAGCGCGCGUAGGCGGUCUGAUAAGCCGGUUGUGAAAGCCCCGGGCUCAACCUGGGAACGGCAUCCGGAACUGGCAGGCUAGAGUGCAGGAGAGGAAGGUAGAAUUCCCGGUGUAGCGGUGAAAUGCGUAGAGAUCUGGAGGAAUACCAGUGGCGAAGGCGGCCUUCUGGACUGAAACUGACGCUGAGGUGCGAAAGCGUGGGUAGCAAACAGGAUUAGAUACCCGGGUAGUC